rnacentral:rRNA from 1 species
GAGUAAUCAAGCGUCUUAAGGGCAUUUGGUGGAUGCCUUGGCGCGCAGAGGCGAUGAAGGACGUGGCACGCUGCGAUAAGCCAUGGGGAGCUGUGAGCAAGCUUUGAUCCGUGGAUUUCCGAAUGGGGAAACCCAACCCGCAAGGGUUAUCGUUACCUGAAUACAUAGGGUAACGAAGCGAACCCGGGGAACUGAAACAUCUCAGUACCCGGAGGAAAGGACAUCAACCGAGACUCCGUUAGUAGUGGCGAGCGAACGCGGACCAGGCCAAUGCCUGGAGUCUUCUAACUGGAACCGUCUGGAAAGUCGGGCCUUAGCGGGUGAUAGCCCCGUACAGGUGUUGAAGAUUUCAGGAUACGAGUAGGGCGGGACACGUGAAAUCCUGUCUGAACAUGGGGGGGCCACCCUCCAAGCCUAAGUACUCCUGCGCGACCGAUAGUGCACCAGUACCGUGAGGGAAAGGUGAAAAGCACCCCGACGAGGGGAGUGAAAUAGUACCUGAAACCGAAUGCCUACAAACAGUUGGAGCCCGCAAGGGUGACAACGUACCUUUUGUAUAAUGGGUCAGCGACUUAAUCUGGCGAGCAAGCCUAAGCCGAUAGGUGUAAGCGAAGCGAAAGCGAGUCUGAACAGGGCGUUCAGUUCGUC